GCGGCAGACGGGUGAGUAACGCGUGGGAAUCUACCUUUUGCUACGGAAUAACGCAGGGAAACUUGUGCUAAUACCGUAUGUGUCCUUCGGGAGAAAGAUUUAUCGGCAAGAGAUGAGCCCGCGUUGGAUUAGCUAGUUGGUGGGGUAAAGGCCUACCAAGGCGACGAUCCAUAGCUGGUCUGAGAGGAUGAUCAGCCACAUUGGGACUGAGACACGGCCCAAACUCCUACGGGAGGCAGCAGUGGGGAAUAUUGGACAAUGGGCGCAAGCCUGAUCCAGCCAUGCCGCGUGAGUGAUGAAGGCCCUAGGGUUGUAAAGCUCUUUCACCGGAGAAGAUAAUGACGGUAUCCGGAGAAGAAGCCCCGGCUAACUUCGUGCCAGCAGCCGCGGUAAUACGAAGGGGGCUAGCGUUGUUCGGAAUUACUGGGCGUAAAGCGCACGUAGGCGGAUCGAUCAGUCAGGGGUGAAAUCCCAGGGCUCAACCCUGGAACUGCCUUUGAUACUGUCGAUCUGGAGUAUGGAAGAGGUGAGUGGAAUUCCGAGUGUAGAGGUGAAAUUCGUAGAUAUUCGGAGGARCACCAGUGGCGAAGGCGGCUCACUGGUCCAUUACUGACGCUGAGGUGCGAAAGCGUGGGGAGCAAACAGGAUUAGAUACCCUG
rnacentral:rRNA from 1 species